CUCGGGUGACGAGCGGCGGACGGGUGAGUAAUGUCUGGGAAACUGCCUGAUGGAGGGGGAUAACUACUGGAAACGGUAGCUAAUACCGCAUAAUGUCGCAAGACCAAAGUGGGGGACCUUCGGGCCUCAUGCCAUCAGAUGUGCCCAGAUGGGAUUAGCUAGUAAGUGGGGUAACGGCUCACCUAAGCGACGAUCCCUAGCUGGUCUGAGAGGAUGACCAGCCACACUGGAACUGAGACACGGUCCAGACUCCUACGGGAGGCAGCAGUGGGGAAUAUUGCACAAUGGGCGCAAGCCUGAUGCAGCCAUGCCGCGUGUGUGAAGAAGGCCUUCGGGUUGUAAAGCACUUUCAGCGGGGAGGAAGGCGGUGAGGUUAAUAACCUCAUCGAUUGACGUUACCCGCAGAAGAAGCACCGGCUAACUCCGUGCCAGCAGCCGCGGUAAUACGGAGGGUGCAAGCGUUAAUCGGAAUUACUGGGCGUAAAGCGCACGCAGGCGGUCUGUCAAGUCGGAUGUGAAAUCCCCGGGCUCAACCUGGGAACUGCAUUCGAAACUGGCAGGCUAGAGUCUUGUAGAGGGGGGUAGAAUUCCAGGUGUAGCGGUGAAAUGCGUAGAGAUCUGGAGGAAUACCGGUGGCGAAGGCGGCCCCCUGGACAAAGACUGACGCUCAGGUGCGAAAGCGUGGGGAGCAA
rnacentral:rRNA from 1 species